rnacentral:lncRNA from 1 species
CGGAGGCACGGCGCGGGGAGCCGUGUGGUGGGGGGUUGAGGGCAGGGCAGGAGCAGCGGAAAUGCGAGGCGGCGGCGGGCGGCGGAUCGGGGCGGGUGGUGCAAGUGUGCAGCAGCAGCGAGCAAACGAUGGGAUGGGAAAAAGGAAAUGGCGUCCGCGUGCGUGAAUCGCCUUUUUCCGCCUUCCGUUGGGAGGGGGAGGGGGGGGAGGGAGCCUCGCGACAACGGCGCAGAGAAAGAGGAGAGGAGAGGAGAGGAGAGUGACCCUGCAUCAGCUUGGCUGCGUUACCAAGACGGGGACGAAAG